rnacentral:lncRNA from 1 species
AUGGAAACGAAGGCAUCUGACCUUGUGGUGAGAGACUGUUAUUGGACAAAAUGGGCACUUUUCACUUUACCUCUAGAAGUUCAAAGUCCCAAAAGGAAGAUCCAAGGUGACAUGAUUGCUGAGGUCAGGAAGAAAGAAAGGCUGUUGUCUCUUCCAUUGACCUGCUGAGGACCGCUAGUGACUUAAACAGGACAAGAAGAUUCUCCCGAGACCCUCAGAAGAAUGCUCCUUCUCUGGGUACUUAAAAGGGCAGUGGCCCGGACGCCGUAUAAUGUUGGUUUAGAAACUUGACUUUGGGGCUGGGGAUUUAGCUCAGUGGUAGAGCGCUUGCCUAGGAAGCGUAAGGCCCUGGGUUCGGUCCCCAGCUCCGAAAAAAAAGAACCCAAAAAAAAAAAAAAAAAAAAAAAGAAACUUGACUUUGAUCCUGUCAUUUGCUGAUGAGGAAGCAGAGGCCCAUAGAAGUCUUGUUUACUGUCGAUCCCUCGCCCAGAGCAAGAACUUUAACUCAGAGCUUCUGGCCACUCGUCUGCUCAGACCGCAUGAAGGGCUUUGAGUGAGGAAGGGAGCAAAUGGUGGUUCACAUCCAGACACAGGAAGUCCUUCCCUUGGCAUUUCCUCCACCGCACAGUAGGUCUGCAGAUGUAAACCUGAUUACGUCACCCCUUCCAGCUCUCCUUACACCUGCCCUAGCUCCCCAUCGUUCUUAUGAGCAAAACGAAUGUGCCUGACUGAGCACUAGGCCCUCUGUCCACCUCUCCUGCUCCACCAUCUUUCUUUCAGGUCCCAGACUCUUGACACCCCUCCCACCACUGAGCCUCAACCUCGAGUCGUGUCUCCUGCUGAGAAUGCCCGUCAAAGGCUGGUGUGCUCCAGUGCUCUUUCCACAGCCCAGGUAGGAACUCGGCCAUAUUGGAGAGAAUAUCUAUCCAUGUGUACUCCCACCAAGGUCUUCUGGAGUA